AACACAUGCAAGUCGAGGGGCAGCAUAAAAGUAGCAAUACUUGGUGGCGACCGGCGCACGGGUGAGUAACGCGUAUGCAACCUACCUAUCAGAGGGGAAUAACCCGGCGAAAGUCGGACUAAUACCGCAUAAAACAGGGACACCGCAUGGUGAUAUUUGUUAAAGAAAUUCGCUGAUAGAUGGGCAUGCGUUCCAUUAGGUAGUUGGUGAGGUAACGGCUCACCAAGCCGACGAUGGAUAGGGGAACUGAGAGGUUGGUCCCCCACACUGGUACUGAGACACGGACCAGACUCCUACGGGAGGCAGCAGUGAGGAAUAUUGGUCAAUGGGCGAGAGCCUGAACCAGCCAAGUCGCGUGAAGGAAGAAGGAUCUAUGGUUCGUAAACUUCUUUUGCAGGGGAAUAAAGUGCAGGACGUGUCCUGUUUUGUAUGUACCCUGAGAAUAAGGAUCGGCUAACUCCGUGCCAGCCGCGGC
rnacentral:rRNA from 1 species